rnacentral:rRNA from 1 species
UGGUGACAAUAGGAUUGUGGUCCCACCUGAUCCCAUCCCGAACUCAGAAGUGAAACGCAAUCGCGCCGAUGGUAGUGUGGGGUCUCCCCAUGUGAGAGUAGGUCAUCGCCAAGCG